AACGAACGCUGGCGGCAGGCUUAACACAUGCAAGUCGAACGGGCGUAGCAAUACGUCAGUGGCAGACGGGUGAGUAACACGUGGGAAUAUCCCUUUCAGCUCGGAAUAACUCAGGGAAACUUGAGCUAAUACCGAAUACGUCCUUCGGGAGAAAGAUUUAUCACUGAGAGAUUAGCCCGCGUCUGAUUAGCUAGGUGGUGAGGUAAUGGCUCACCAAGGCGACGAUCAGUAGCUGGUCUGAGAGGAUGAUCAGCCACACUGGGACUGAGACACGGCCCAGACUCCUACGGGAGGCAGCAGUGGGGAAUAUUGGACAAUGGGGGCAACCCUGAUCCAGCCAUGCCGCGUGAGUGAUGAAGGCCUUAGGGUUGUAAAGCUCUUUUGCUAGGGAAGAUAAUGACUGUACCUAGAGAAUAAGCCCCGGCUAACUUCGUGCCAGCAGCCGCAGUAA
rnacentral:rRNA from 1 species